UACGUAGGGUGCAAGCGUUAAUCGGAAUUACUGGGCGUAAAGCGUGCGCAGGCGGUUUUGUAAGUCUGACGUGAAAUCCCCGGGCUUAACCUGGGAAUUGCGUUGGAGACUGCAAGGCUGGAGUCUGGCAGAGGGGGGUAGAAUUCCACGUGUAGCAGUGAAAUGCGCAGAUAUCAGGAGGAACACCGGUGGCGAAGGCGGCUCACUGGACCGGUACUGACGCUGAUGCGCGAAAGCGUGGGGAGCAAACGGG
rnacentral:rRNA from 1 species